AGUAGUAGUAGUAGUAAAGAUUUAUCAGUUUGGAGUGCUGUGUAACAUUAAAAGAAAAUAAAUUAGCAAAUUGUUAGUGGAAAGAUAAUUAUAGACAGGUACACAUGGGAUAGUUUUAUUUAAUAAUAUAGAACACAAACAGUGAGAGACUAAUGUUACAACGAGUGUACGCAAAUCCUCAAAGGAAAAAAGUUGUUUUGUUCAAGAAAUGCAGACUAAACCUGCUCACUAUAUUUACAGAGAUAAAAAAGAAUAUGAAAAUCUCAGUUUAAGGAUGGAUUACUUAACAUCCGGGUGGAACAUAAAUCACUUAAGUAAAGUAAUCUAUAGACUAUAGAUGAAGACAGGUUCAUCAAGAGACACUCUUCUCAAAUAUAAGCGAAAUAAUAUGAAGAACUACGAAGAAACUACCAAUAUAAUAACUAUGUCAUGAAUACUCCCUCAAAAAAUGUUUUCCUAGCAUGAAACUUAAUCAGAGGUAUUUCCUCCAUACUCACUAUUAAAGGAGAUAUGGGGAAAAAAAGUUAGAUAUGAAAGGAAUAGAAGGAAGGUCUUUAUAAAAAAUUACUCUUUCUCCGACCAAAUUGAAUCAUACUUGAUAAUUGCUUUUGGAGCACUCUUUCAAGUUUAACCUGAAAAAAUGAAAUUUUCCAAUAAAUUAUUUCACAUUUCCUCAGCUUCAUGAUUAAUUACUUAU
rnacentral:lncRNA from 1 species